AUUGAACGCUGGCGGCAGGCCUAACACAUGCAAGUCGAGCGGAGCGGCGGACGGGUGAGUGAUGCCUAGGACUCUGCCUGGUCGUGAGGGAUAACGUCCGGUAACGGGCGCUAAUACCACAUACUCUCAGAUGCGCAUAGGUCGGAUUGGCUAGUGGGUGGGGUAAAGGCCUACCAGGGCGACGAUCCGUAACUGGUCUGAGAGGAUGAUCAGUCACACUGGAACUGAGACACGGUCCAGACUCCUACGGGAGGCAGCAGUGGGGAAUAUUGGACAAUGGGCGAAAGCCUGAUCCAGCCAUGCCGCGUGUGUGAAGAAGGUCUUCGGAUUGUAAAGCACUUUAAGUUGGGAGGCGUUACCAACAGAAUAAGCACCGGCUAACUUCGUGCCAGCAGCCGCGGUAAUUC
rnacentral:rRNA from 1 species